GACGAACGCUGGCGGCGUGCUUAACACAUGCAAGUCGAACGGAAAGGCCCUGCUUUUGUGGGGUGCUCGAGUGGCGAACGGGUGAGUAACACGCGAGUAACCUGCCCUUGACUUUGGGAUAACUUUAGGAAACUGGGGCUAAUACCGGAUAGGAGCUCCUGCUGCAUGGGGGGGGUUGGAAAGUUUCGGCGGUUGGGGAUGGACUCGCGGCUUAUCAGCUUGUUGGUGGGGUAGUGGCUUACCAAGGCUUUGCCGGAUAGCCGGCCUGGGAGGGUGACCGGCCACAUUAGGACUGAGGUACGGCCCAGACUCCUACCGGAGGCAGCGGUGGGGAAUAUUGCACAAUGGGCGGAAGCCUGAUGCAGCAACGCCGGGUGCGGGAUGACGGGCUUCGGGUUGUAAACCGCUUUCGCCUGUGACGAAGCGUGAGUGACGGUAAUGUGUAAAGAAGCACCGGCUAACUACGUG
rnacentral:rRNA from 1 species